rnacentral:rRNA from 1 species
UAGGGAAUCUUCGGCAAUGGACGAAAGUCUGACCGAGCAACGCCGCGUGAGUGGAGAAGGUUUUCGGAUCGUAAAACUCUGUUGUUAGAGAAGAACAAGGACGUUAGUAACUGAACGUCCCCUGACGGUAUCUAACCAGAAAGCCACGGCUAACUACGUGCCAGCAGCCGCGGUAAUACGGAGGGUGCAAGCGUUAAUCGGAAUUACUGGGCGUAAAGCGCACGCAGGCGGUCUGUCAAGUCGGAUGUGAAAUCCCCGGGCUCAACCUGGGAACUGCAUUCGAAACUGGCAGGCUAGAGUCUUGUAGAGGGGGGUAGAAUUCCAGGUGUAGCGGUGAAAUGCGUAGAGAUCUGGAGGAAUACCGGUGGCGAAGGCGGCCCCCUGGACAAAGACUGACGCUCAGGUGCGAAAGCGUGGGGAGCAAACAGG